GACACUAUGGCCGAGCGGUCUAAGGCGGCAGCCUAGAAAGCUGUUCUCUUCGGGGGCGUCGGUUCGAGUCCGACUGGUGUCG
rfam:Aspergillus wentii DTO 134E9 unplaced genomic scaffold ASPWEscaffold_3, whole genome shotgun sequence.